CACCCGCUUUUCCCUUUUUCUCUCAUCUAGAACCCCCAAGACCGGGCUCACUCGCCCCCUCGGACCUGCUAGGGAUGGCACGCGCCGCUGCCGCCAACCUGCGUGGCCUGGUCGGCAUUGCAGCGGCGGGCCGGAGGCGGGUGACCGCCUCCGUCGCGCCACCCCGCGCGUCGCCCGGCGGGCGCGCAUUCCGGGCCGUGGCCUCAGGCUCCGGGGGCAGGACGACUCCUGAAUCCUCCUCUUCGUCCUCGCCGGCCCUACCACAGCUGCAGCCGCGGCGCGGCUUGGCGACGAGACGAGCGGUGCUGCGUAACUUGAUUAGCGGCGGCUUAGAGAGUGAGGAUGGUAAGCUGAGCUGCGGAUAUUCAAGUUUUAAAGGGAGGAGACCUACUAUGGAGGAUCGCUACGAUGUAAAGUUCGCUAAAAUGAAGGGACAGUCAGUUAGCUUGUUUGGUGUAUUUGAUGGUCAUGCAGGAGCACUUGCCGCUGAAUAUCUAAAGGAACAUCUGCUUGACAACCUUAUCAAGCAUCCUCAGUUCCUGAGAAACCCAAAGCUUGCUCUGAAGACGACCUUCCUGAAAACUGAUGCUGAUUUCUUAGAGUCGGUAACCACUCCUUAUAGGGAGGAUGGUUCGACUGCUUUGGCUGCUGUUCUGGUUGGUGACCAAAUUUAUGUAGCAAAUGUUGGUGAUUCACGUGCUAUCGCUUUAAAAGGUGGCAAAGCUAUCCCACUCUCAGAUGACCAUAAACCUAACUUAAAGGAUGAGAGAACGAGAAUUGAGAAUGCUGGAGGUGGUGUUAGUUAUGAUGGUUUUACUUGGAGGGUUGAUGGAAUUCUGGCAAUGUCCCGUGCAUUUGGCAACCGUUCAUUGAAGAAUUAUGUGAUAGCAGAGCCUGACAUUCAGACCCAAAUAUACAUUCGCCAUGCACAUGAGGAAUAAUGAAUUCCCACUUUACGGACCAUCAACCUGAGUACAAAUGACAAAUAUGCACUUUACAGACUAUCAACCUGAAUUCAAAUGGAUUUCCUGCAGUCCUUCAGAAACUGCAAGUUCAUUCCGUCUAAUAAAAUAAUGUCAUUUACUGAUUGAUCAGUUGAGAAAAUAUUGGGAUGCUGGCACCUUUAAUCACCUGUGAUCUGGAUCAUUGCUUGCUGAAUCAAACAGUGGGAAUUUUAUAAUUGUCCUGUAGAUUUGUUGGAUGAUGGUAGUAGAUUCUUGUUGCAACCUUAACUCCAAUCCUGAAGUUACAACUUUUAACUUGGGUCUCUAUAUUGGUCUUCCAACUGAAACGCAGGUCAGCAGUGACUUGGAAUACCUGGUUCUCGCUACAGAUGGUCUUUGGGAUGUCGUGCAAAAUGAGGAUGUUAUUUCACUUAUGAGAGCAACGGACGAGCCUGAGGUGGCGGCAGUGAAGCUGACGGAAAUGGCCCACUCUCGGCACAGCUCAGACAACAUUACAUGCAUUGUGGUGGGAUUUCACCACUGAACAGCGUAUGAUACGUGACCGAUAUUGGUGGCAGUGAAGUUUUUUCACUUCCUCUCUGAUCUAUGGCUGGUAUAAGACUUCCAACGGCUGUGAAAGAAACUGGCCAAUUGUUGGAUCUUUUUGUAGGGAAUUUUUUGCAUCUGAUUAUCACUUAGUGAAAUUGCAUCAGAUCCGUUAGGAGUUGGGUCCACAAAAUCAACAAAAUGGAGAAGGCCUAGGGCAUACUACUACUACCACUACACCACAACAUCAUCAUAUCUUUAUAAUUGAAGGAGUGUGGAGUAUUUUCUUUAGUGUUUUGUGUUCAGUUUAGUUUAUUCACAAAACCGAGGUCUACAUGGCAUACUCAUGUCAUGAGAUCCUAAAUUGGAUCUAGAACUUGCAAACUACAUAUUUCUUUGUUGCUUUUAUGCACCACGCUGAAAUAUGUAUAUCUGAAGUACAAAGAUUAUCCGGAAUCUUUUA